GUUCAAGUGCCAGUGAAACGAACGAUAGAAAAAAAGAAGCAUUCAAACUGUUCGCAAAAUUUUUGGUUUGGAUACAAAAAACCAAGUGAAAAUAAUACUGGAAAGACUGUUUACCGUUUGACUCCUGUCCCAAUCUAACCUAGUGGGUUCAAAAAGAAGGGACCGCACUGGAAACAUGAGUGGAUUAAAAGGAUCAGCUCUUUUUGAAUUAAUAGUCGAAGUGGUAACCAGCUAGAAGUCGCAACCUGCUCGAAUGAAAGGAUUUCUCGACGUAAAAUUGUUAAUUUUGUUCAACAACGCCAAGAAACAGAGCUCACUCAAGAAACAGAAAAGAAAGAGAAAGAUGAAA